rnacentral:rRNA from 1 species
UACGGGGGGGGCAAGCGUUGUUCGGAAUUACUGGGCGUAAAGGGCUCGUAGGCGGCCAACUAAGUCGGAUGUGAAAUCCCCAGGCUUAACCUGGGAAUUGCAUCCGAUACUGGAUGGCUUGAAUCCGGGAGAGGGAUGCGGAAUUCCAGGUGUAGCGGUGAAAUGCGUAGAUAUCUGGAGGAACACCGUGGCGAAGGCGGCAUCCUGGACCGGCAUUGACGCUGAGGAGCGAAAGCCAGGGGAGCAAACGGGG